CUAUGAUCUGAAGUCGGGUGGGAU
rnacentral:rRNA from 1 species